CUAAGUUUAGCAUAAACAGUGAAACUGCGAAUGGCUCAUUAAAUCAGUCAUAGUUUAUUUGAUGGUACCUUACUACAUGGAUAACUGUGGUAAUUCUAGAGCUAAUACAUGCUGAAAAAUCCCGACUUCUGGAAGGGAUGUAUUUAUUAGAUCCAAAACCAAUGGCCUUCGGGUCCCUAUGGUGAAUCAUGAUAACUGCUCGAAUCGCAUGGCCUUGCGCCGGCGAUGCUUCAUUCAAAUAUCUGCCCUAUCAACUUUCGAUGGUAGGAUAGAGGCCUACCAUGGUGAUGACGGGUAACGGGGAAUAAGGGUUCGAUUCCGGAGAGAGGGCCUGAGAAACGGCCCUCAGGUCUAAGGACACGCAGCAGGCGCGCAAAUUAUCCCCUGGCAACACUUUGCCGAGAUAGUGACAAUAAAUAACAAUGCAGGGCUCUUACGGGUCUUGCAAUUGGAAUGAGUACAAUUUAAAUCCCUUAACGAGGAUCAAUUGGAGGGCAAGUCUGGUGCCAGCAGCCGCGGUAAUUCCAGCUCCAAUAGCGUAUAUUAAAAUUGUUGCCGUUAAAAAGCUCGUAGUCGAACUUCGGGCUCUGUCAGCCGGUCCGCCUUCUUGGUGUGUACUUGUUUGACGGAGCCUUACCUCCUGGUGAACGGCGAUGUCCUUUACUGGGUGUCGUCGCAAACCAGGACUUUUACUUUGAAACAAUUAGAGUGUUCAUAGCAGGCCUUUGCCCGAAUACAUUAGCAUGGAAUAAUAAAAUAGGACGCGCGUUCCCAUUUUGUUGGUUUCUGAGAUCGCCGUAAUGAUUAAUAGGGAUAGUUGGGGGCAUUUGUAUUCCGUCGUCAGAGGUGAAAUUCUUGGAUUGCCGGAAGACAAACUACUGCGAAAGCAUUUGCCAAGGAUGUUUUCAUUGAUCAAGAACGAAGGAAGGGGGAUCGAAAACGAUUAGAUACCGUUGUAGUCUCUUCUGUAAACUAUGCCAAUUGGGGAUCGGUACAGGAUUUUUAAUGACUGUAUCGGCACCCGAAGAGAAAUCUUUAAAUGAAGUUCGGGGGGGAGUAUGGUCGCUAGGCUGAAACUUAAAGGAAUUGACGGAGGGCACCACCAGGGUUGGAGCCGGCGGCUUAAUUUGACUCACCCGGGGAAACUCCCAGGUCCCGACCCAAUAGGGUUGGACGAUUGAAAGCCCUUUCUUGGACCUGGGGUUGGGGGGGCAAGGCCCUUCUUAAGUUGGGGGAAGGAUUUGCUGGUUUAUUCCGAAAACAAAGGAACCUUAACCGGCAAAUAACCACCCGGGUUUGGAAGGGCCGGUUUCUUAAAGGGAAAUCCCCGGUUUAGGCUAGGGAAUUUGGGGCAAUAAAAGGUUCGUAAGCCCCUAAAAUUUUGGGGCCCGACCGCA
rnacentral:rRNA from 1 species